rnacentral:rRNA from 1 species
GUAGUCCACGCCGUAAACGAUGAGUGUUAGGUGUCUGGAGUCAAAUCUGGGUGCCGCAGCAAACGCAUUAAACACUCCGCCUGGGGAGUACGCACGCAAGUGUGAAACUCAAAGGAAUUGACGGGGACCCGCACAAGCAGCGGAGCAUGUGGUUUAAUUCGACGCAACGCGAAGAACCUUACCAAGUCUUGACAUAUUUUAGAAGCAAUUAGAGAUAAUUGCCUAUAUCUUCGGAUAACUAAAAUACAGGUGGUGCAUGGUUGUCGUCAGCUCGUGUCGUGAGAUGUUGGGUUAAGUCCCAUAACGAGCGCAACCCCUAUUGCUAGUUACCAUCAUUAAGUUGGGGACUCUAGUAAUACUGCCGGUGACAAACCGGA